rnacentral:tRNA from 1 species
AGCCUUAUAUUCAAAAUAUGAUAUUAAAUUGCAAAUUUAAAGUUGGGUUGUAUCCUAAGGCUU